CUGCAGAUGCAAGAAAAAAGGGUCCCCACACUCUCUGCCUGAACGUGGCGGCCAAGACUGAAUGGGGGAUACAGGA
rnacentral:snoRNA from 1 species